GAACGCUAGCGGCAGGCUUAACACAUGCAAGUCGAGGGGCAGCAUGACACGGAGAUUCGUCGAAGUGUUGAUGGCGACCGGCGCGAAGGGUGCGUAACGCGUGAGCAACUUCGCCCGUUUCUGGGGAAUAACCGGUGGAAACGCCGACUAAUACCCCAUAGUAUAACGAAGAGGCAUCUUUUUGUUAUUAAAGAAUUUCGGAAACGGAUAGGCUCGCGUGACAUUAGCUAGAUGGCGGGGUAACGGCCCACCAUGGCGACGAUGUCUAGGGGUUCUGAGAGGAAGGUCCCCCACACUGGUACUGAGACACGGACCAAACUCCUACGGGAGGCAGCAGUGAGGAAUAUUGGUCAAUGGACGCAAGUCUGAACCAGCCAUGCCGCGUGCAGGAUGACGGCUCUAUGAGUUGUAAACUGCUUUUGUAUGAGGGUAAACCUAGAUACGUGUAUCUAGCUGAAAGUAUCAUACGAAUAAGGAUCGGCUAACUCCGUG
rnacentral:rRNA from 1 species